AACCAACCAUGCAUGGACAGAAAUGCAACCAGGAGCCCAUGUAAACCUUUUGUCUUUAUAAGUUGAUUACCUAAGAUAUUUGUUACAGUGCCAGAAAGAUGACUGAUACAUCCACCACCUCAGAACAGCACGAAGUUUCUCUGCAGAGAAAAAGCACUCCAGAUUUCCCCAAAGUGGAGAAUAACGUGACACAGGAAACAUAAUUAGAAGAAGAAAACUGGACUAAUGAACUUACUAUAGCAAACAUGCACAAAAACUAGGCAUGUUUUAAUAUCAUUAUCCUCUCCCCACCCAACACGAAC
rnacentral:lncRNA from 1 species